rnacentral:lncRNA from 1 species
ACUCCGGAUCAUAACUAGCCUUUUGACGUCCUUCAAUGUCUGCACCCCCAAGAAUCUGCUAGGCUCCCUCGGCGUGGAGGUGACAGGUGAGCCUCCGGACCAGACUCACCUGCCGCAAGUCACUGCGGCUCGUCGGCCCCUCCCCCGUGCGCCUGCCCUGGGGUUCAGAUUACCUGCGCGGACUCUCUCCCCGAGAGGUAGAAGCCCUAGGGGACCGGGAGGGGCACCCUGCCGCACCCGAGACUUCUAGGGCGAGUUCGCAGGUGUGGGCUCCGCAGUACCUCCUCUCCCAGCGCAGACCGAGGCGAAGCUGGGCUUCGGGGAAGGAAGCAUUUCUCCCUCGCUGCCCCCCGCGGCUGUGUAGAGCCCCAAGACUUAAAGAUGGGGGGCAAUGCCUGUUCACGCUCGUUGCUGCACAACCCCUCACGCAGAUUUCCGGGAAGUUACUGUGGCCUUCAAGACUUGACUGGAGGAGACAUGAGAUAAAUAAGCAGAAGAACAAAUAAAAGUGCCUGAGAUCAGGACUGUGAGGAACGUAAGACAGCACCCUGAGAUUGAGUAGCUGUCCUGAAGGAGAGAGUGGCAGGGACGUCACUGGCCUACUUUACAUGAGAUGGCCAAGGAGGACCCCUCAAGAAAUGGAAUUUGGGCUGAGACAUAAAGAAAAAAAAGGGCUGGCAUUGCUAUCCACUCUAGAAGGAAGAUGGGAACAGUGGAAGGAUGGAGCUGAGAGCGUUUAGAGAGUAGGGGAAAAGGAGAUUGAGAUGAGAGUACACAAUGGGCAGGGCCUGGAGGCAAGAAACCUCCUGAGCUAAAAAUAGAGUCAGUGAAAACACUGUACCAGUGGUGGCUAUUGUACUUGCAUUUUUUUUUUUUAGAGAAUUUUGUUGAUUAAUCAUUCAACCACAGUAACCCAAAUUUCAUAUUCUCUGCACCUGCUCUAAGAAGAAACAAAAUAAAAACAAGUUGUGUUCAAUGUUGGUAAGUUCCUGUCUAAGCGCCUGAGGCUGAAAUGAGAGUUGACCGUUCUACCCCACGAGGCCUGAACUCUGACGUUGCAAGUGGGGUGAGAUAUUGGGUUGAAAAUUGUCUCUCCUGGAAUGUAUACAACAGGGGAUCAAAGAACUCUGUGGUUAAGCAAUCUAGACUUCUGUCUAUCCCCAGGCUGGGCCUCAUGCUCACCAAGAUAAUAGCAUUUUCUCAAAUGCAGCUACCUCCAUAGCACUCUACAUCCCCAAACCCCUAGGCUGACCGGUACCCAUUCUCCCUGAGGGUUUCUGGCCAUCUUGUAAAGUGAACAGUGGUAGAGUGGAGUGAUAACUUGAUGUCCCUUGUGUUUGCCAAUCAUGUGAUGCUAGAGUUGUCUCUUCUCCAUGCUGGGCCUGGUGUCUCAGCCUUUCGGGUAAUGCUGAUGCUCUCUGUCACAACAGAGAUGUUCAAGGAAAAUCUAUGUGCAGGAGCAUCCUGUAAAUCCUAAAGGCCAUGUGCACACUGGGCAUGAUUCACAGCCCAUGAUGACUUUGUGUAAGGAGUAGGAGAGCCUCCUGCUGUGGGCCUCUUUUGUAACAAAUCUCCACACACUCCUGAUGUUUGUGUGUCCCCAGCCAGCGUGUUAAGUCCAAAGGACAUGAGUCCUACUCAUUAUCACGGAAGAGGCCAGGCCCUGCUGCCUCCAAGUCUGGUUUUCACAAUGAAUCAAACAGAGUCGAAGGAGGGGUAGAGUACUCCCAUCCUGUGUGUGUUUGCUUGGCCUGUAACUAGCAAAUCUGAGUGACCAGCUUAUUUUGAUUUGCUAGGAACUUGAAUGGUUUUAGUCCUGAACACUUCUGGCCAAAGCUAAUGGCAAUAGUGGUCAUCCGACCUGGGUGCCUCCCUGUCUUGGUCAUUGCCCUCCACCCUGAACAAAGAGCUGACAUGAGAACUGGGUUAGGUAUGUUACAGCGAUGGAAAAGAGUGGGUACAGAAAGCAGGGAAUAUUGAGUUUUCAGAGAUGCUGCUUUUAACAGAGACUAGGGCAGACAGUCAUCCGAUCAAAGAGACUAUUAGAUGAACACUUAUUCUGUUUUUGUUCAUUUGUUUUAAGUUUCAUUCCCUGGGAUAGGUGAUACCCACAGUACUCACCUCACCUUUGAGAGCUAUUCACCUGUAGCUCUGUUCCCAGCCUGCCAGACUUUGGCUACGAAAUCAAUGUAGGAGUGUUACACAUUGACACAGUCCAGAUUAAGGAGAGAUGUACCAGAGGCUGCCUAAUCAUGAGAUUUUUUUUCUUUCUUUCUGUUUCAUUUUUUCUUAGAUAACUAGGCCAGACUCUUUCCAACAGGAAGGGCAUGAGUUACUGUGCAGAUGGACAGAGACAAGAAGGGGGGCCCCUGAGCAGAAGCUAGAGCUGCACCUGCAGCCUGGGACCUCAAGCCAUUCCACCUACUGCUCACACAUUUCUCUUGCUAUCAGGCUGUCUAGGAGAGAGAAGAGAUGGAGCUGGUCCUCUAUCAGGCCCACUGCUUCAGGGGGCCCUGUGAUCAUAUUGUUGAUGUUGCCGGAAAUGUGAUUUGUGCUCAGGAGUCUGAGAUUGUAGCUGGGCUCCCUCAGGAGCCUCAUGAAAGAUGCAUUUCACCAGGCGGUUCCAGGGGAGAGACUGGCUUAAAUUACAGCUCUAGGAAUCCAAAUAUUGGCAUAUCUGCACAUCCAAAUGUGAGUGGGGGGGGGGACCCUAAAUUCUAAGAAUCUUAUUCUGCAUUUCUUGUGUGCAAAAGGGAUGAUGGGACUCAGAAAGGGUAGAUUCAGAGGCUUCAGAAGAGAACACCCCAACUCUUCCACCCUUUUCUCUCUCUCCCCCAUGCAUUCUGCAUGCCUUCAAAGAAACAGGCUGUGACACAGAGGAGAAGGUAGCAUUUGUUCAGUGUGACAGUUUUUAGUACAGGUGGGACAGGGUAUGCAGCAUGUGGGACACAGGAGGGCUCAGCCAUCUCUGUCUGCCCCUCCCUGUACAGUUUUCUGGAUCUAGGAUGAAGGUUUCUCAUGGAUCAGUAACGGCGCUACGGUCAUUCACAACCCAGCAGGGUGAGGGAUCCUGCACCGCUGUGAGAGAAACCAUGUUAUUUCUCUGCUCAAAAUCCUCAUCUGCCUUAGAGAGGGGUGGGGUGUUCCUACGGUAGACUCCAAGGUCAUCUCACUAGUUUUCUUCUCAUUACAAGACAAGAUGGCCCUUCAUUACUCCCUUCCCCCAUGGCAAGUCCACAUCUCCCUCAGAAUCUAAACUUUUCUCAUUCCUUCUGCAUGGAGUACUUACUUGUCCCUGCAAAGCUUAUCAGACUCUGUUCAGUCUUCACCAAGAUACCAGCUUCCAGAUACAUAUUCCCUGACAAUAUUAUUUUAAAAUCCCUAGAAUUUCCCAUACAUGCUCUUGUGUACAGCAGUGACUUAGAUGUGGACCCAAGGGGUCUGUGGCUUGGUAUUGAAGAGAUGGUAUCUUUAAAUAGUGAAACUUCCUGGAAGAUGGUUAGAUCAUUGGUGGCACUUCCAGUGGAAGGAAUUGUGAUAAUUCUAGAUUCCUGAUUUGUUCCCAAGAGAGUGAGUUGUUAUAAGAGCAAGCCUGAUUGGCUUCCUGUCUGAUCAUGUGACCUCUCCGCUACACAUGCUACAGCUAUAGUGGUGGCAUCCAUUACGAGGCAUGAAUCAAGCAGAAGCUGGUACCAUGGUCUUUAUCCUGUAAAAUGGAGUAAAUAAACCUUUUUCUUUGUAAGUAUCCAGCCUCAGAUGUUUUGUUACAGCCAUGGAAAUAGAUGAUUAUAACCCAUUUCUGUUCUGUUAUAUAUUACUUAAACUACGUAUUUAUUCCCUUUUCUUAUUUUGUAUAUGUUAGUAACUUGAUUUGGUUGUCAUAGCUCAUAUAUUAUAAGCUCUGAAUUAUAGUUGAUUGAAUAAUAGACAGUAUCUUUAUGGGGCAUCUCUAUCUCUCUUCACAGUAUAAUUUCUCUUCAAUUUACAGGGGGACUGUCAAGCUCUAAAAGUUAAGUAGCUGCCUAUAUUGUAACCAGCACAAUAAUCCAGAAAUAUGGGCUUCAGACAGGUCUUUGAACUGGACUUGGGUGCAUCAAGAAAUAUAACCUUGUGCUACCUUGCAUGGUAUCUACCAGUC